rnacentral:rRNA from 1 species
GAGCGAACGCUGGCGGCAGGCCUACCCCAUGCAAGUCGAACGAACCUUUCGGGGUUAGUGGCGGACGGGUGAGUAACACGUGGGAACGUGCCUUUAGGUUCGGAAUAACUCAGGGAAACUUGUGCUAAUACCGAAUGUGCCCUUCGGGGGAAAGAUUUAUCGCCUUUAGAGCGGCCCGCGUCUGAUUAGCUAGUUGGUUGAGGUAAUGGCUCACCAAGGCGACGAUCAGUAGCUGGUCUGAGAGGAUGAUCAGCCACAUUGGGACUGAGACACGGCCCAAACUCCUACGGGAGGCAGCAGUGGGGAAUCUUGCGCAAUGGGCGAAAGCCUGACGCAGCCAUGCCGCGUGAAUGAUGAAGGUCUUAGGAUUGUAAAAUUCUUUCACCGGGGACGAUAAUGACGGUACCCGGAGAAGAAGCCCCGGCUAACUUCGUG